UGGAGUCUCCAUCCUUGGUGAUCUUUAAAACCUGACUGGACAUGCUUUCAGGCAAUCUGUUCAAGCUGACUCCAGUGGAAAUGAAGCAGUUGGACUAGAUGAUCUCCCAAGGUUCCUCCCAACCUUAACUGUUUUGUGGGAUCCAGGGUCUUUCAUCAAAAAAUGAAUAUUUUCUCCAAAAAAAAAAAAAAAAUAGUGUUACAGUGACAUGAUGAAGUUAAAGAGACCCUAACCUUGCUCCCGUGUUCCUUACAGGAAAAGACUGGAAGAGGGGUGCCCAGGUGCUUUUUUGAAGUUAUUUGGGCUUUCAGCAGCUGCUGGUGGUUCUGAAACCUUUGCUCUCCCUGUUUUCCUGGCAUGUUCCAGCUCCCUUGGCUGCUCCUGCUGCACCCGUGUCCUCUGUGAAAGCAGCCGCCUUGGGCUGUGAUAUAUUUAAUGGGAGCCACAUGGCCAAAGCUGCUUGGCACUGAACACACCAGCCUGAUGCUUUUUUCUCCUUUUGAAUAUGUGCAUCCUAAAAGAGCUCAAACACAGAGAGGAAGUGACUUCUGAGGUUCUUCAAGGUCACAAGAACUCAUCAGGCAGUGCUGGUGGGAAGCAGUGAGUUCCUCUAAGUAACCUUCAGUGUGAGCAGCGAGUCUCUUCCUGGAAUUCCAAGUUGUGAUGAGUGGCCUCAGCUAUCUCAUGAGCUUUGUAAUGAUAACUGUGAGGGUGCAAAUCUACCUGGAGAUCUGAAAGCCUGCUGGAGUUGGCUGAGCAGACUGCUUCCAUGAGAAGGGUGUGGAGGUGAUGAGAGUAAGUGGAAAUAGGAUUACCUGAGUAUUUGUACAAGCUUGCACAGAGACCACGUGCAUGCAAACUUCACUUCAGCCUGAAGGAAGGGGAGGGAAGCAAUCCUCUCCCACUGUUCCCACCACUAUGGAAGCCACUCGCUCCUUGCAAGUCCAAGUAUGGGCCAGUUCUGUGCACUGGGCAGUAGGAACUGUGAUAGCCCCAGGCAUGAGCCAAGGGAGGAAAGUUCUCAGCGUGGCUCCUGUGUCUGUUUAGAGUAUAGUGAAGGACACACUUGGCUGCAGAAAGUGUUCUUUUAGCAGCCUGGCUGCC